rnacentral:lncRNA from 1 species
CAUUUAAUUGAUCUUGAACCUUUAGAAAUCGAGGUGUGCCAUUAGCUUAAUUUUCAUGGCCCUCGCAACCAAGCGGGGGAUAAUAUCAUUCAAGCAUAGCUUCAGGCAAGGGAAUGGAGUGGCACACAUUUUGGCAAAUGCAGCACUAAGAAAUAACUCUUUUGAUAAGCUAUACAGUUCUGGUACACCUCCUGAUUUUGUUAGGGCCGUCUAUGAGAAUGAUAUGGAGGACUAUGUUUAUGUUAGAACUAGUUGUAUUAAAUAAUGUGAAGAUCUAGCUGCACUAGGAAAUAUGAGUGCCAUAUGUAGCCUAAUGAUAGAUUCUAAUGAUGCAUGUAUGUCAAACAUCCGUAGGAGGAAACCAUCCCUCUAAUUCUAAUGAUGCAUGUAUGACAAACAUCCAUCGGGGAAACCAUCUCUCUCUACUUAACUUAAUAUGUAUACAUAUAUAAAAUAUUCUUUCUGUUUCAAAAAUAAAAAUGUGCUACUUCACGAUGCUUUAAAAAUAUUUCUUGAAAUAUAUUUAAUCGGAGAGCCAUAUUUACACAAAACCAUCCGAACCCUAAAAAAAGGAGUGCAUUUAUUGUUGGUUGACGAAGUUGCUGGACACAAGUAAAUUAUUUUAAUUUUUGAGACGCAAAACUGGAACUAAUAGUACAGACGUGAAAUACCAUCAUCUGGACAGAAGUAAAUUAUUUUAAUUUUUGAGAAGCAAAACUAGAACUAAUAGUACAGACUUGAAAUACCAUCAAAUAUGCAUAUAGAGUAAUAGAGACGUAGCAGAAGAAAAAAAUUCAAUAUCACAUUUUAAGGUACAUACAAAAUAGGUAGCCUGCAGUAUCAGAAAGAAUACUUUUUAGGUUAGAUAAAUGCUGAAUUAGGUAGGGACUACGUCCUUAAUUAUAUGCUAGUCUUAGGUUUCCUAAAAGGGGAAAAAGUGUUUGUUGCAUGAAAUGUAAAUGCAUGGUUGUUUAGGUGUCAUUUGUUAUAAUCCUUGAGCCACUUUUGGUUAUUUGCCUCUUUUAGGCUCUUGCUAUACUACCUUAGCAGACAGUAAAGUACAAGAGGGUAACAGCUUGAAUGUGGAUGAAAUGACAAAAAAAAUUCUUUAUUUAUUUUUAAACAAAAUCAGAAAAGAUAAGUGUGUAGUUCACUUGUUAUUACAUCUUUGUUGUUAUUUAGUAUUUUUAUAUAACACAUUAUUAAAACUUUUAAUAUAAUACUUGAGAGUAAUGGCAAAAGCAGACAUUUACUUUCCUUUUCUUCUUUUAUUUUUAAAAAUACAGAGUAAGAAACAAAAUUGGGCUCCAUGCUAGUUUCAUUCAAGCAUAGCAUCUGGACAGAAGUAAAUUAUUUUAAUUUUUGAGACGCAAAACUGGAACUAAUAGUACAGACUUGAAAUACCAUCCAAUAUGCAUAUGAAGUUUAAAUAGCAAGAGUAAUAGAGACGUAGCAGAAGAAAAACAUCUAAUAUCACAUUUUAAGGUAGCCUGCAUUAUCAGAAAACAUUUAAUACUAGCAUGUAGUUUCUUUAGUUGUUUCUGUAGAAAAGAAUUUGUUCUUUAAUUGCAAAUAACCAUCGGGAAGAUUUCACUUUUGUUUUGGGAUGUCAAACCAAGACUUGUCUAUUUUUCUCCCCCUCCACUAAUUAAUUUUCUUUGCUUCAUUUAACGUGUUCUUUGCAUCAUCAUUUCAGGUUCAAUAUCACGUUUUAAGGUACAUACAAAACUGGUAGCCUGCACAAUCAGAAAAUUCAUCCAGUGCAUUAAAGGCUUAGCUCUUCUUGGCAGCUAGCUUUUCUGGAUCUUUGAAAAGAAUGGAUUUCUGUAGAAAAGAAUUUGUUCUUUAAUUGCAAAUAACCAUCGAGAAUAUUUCACUUUUGUUUUGGGAUGUCAAACAAAGACUUGUCUAUUUUUCUCCCUCUUCACUAAUUAAUUUUCUUAGCUUUAUUUAACGUGUUUUUGCAUCAUCAUUUCAGGUUCAAUAUCACAUUUUAAGGUACAUACAAAAUUGGUAGCCUGCACUAUCAGAAAAUUCAUCCAGUGCAUUAAAGGCUUAGCUCUUCUUGGCAGCUAGCUUUUCUGGAUAUUCAAAACCCCUUCCACCAACACACCACCAUAACCAUCAGCGCCGUUUCCUGACCUCUUGUAUUCAGUAGGCCUCAAGUGAGGAAUUCUUUUUCCACUACGUACCCCUCUUCUUGGAUUUGGUAGCAUAUAUAUAGCUGUAAGUAAUUAGUCGUUGCACCAUUUGUUAUUCUUUCUUUGUUUUGUGGUUUGUAAGUGUUCACAUUUGCUUAUAAUCUUUGAUAUCGCAAUUCUUAGACUGUAAUAGGAGGUUUAGCUUUUUGGUUUUGACUGUUUAAGAGUUUAAUACUAACAUGUAGUUUCUUUAGUUGUUUUUGUAGAAAAGAAUUAGUUUGAUAAUUGCAAAUAACCACCGGGAAGAUUUCACUUUUGUUUUGGGAUGUCAAACAAACACUUGCCUAUUUUUCUCCCCUCCACUAACUAAUUUUCUUAGCUUCAACUGUACGUACUUGUUGAAGCCAUUUAAUUCUUUGCAUCAUCAUUUCAGGUUCUUUUUAUUAGUGUCCUACAUUAACAUUGUUCUCGCCAGUCUUUUCAGAUUGGGUUGAUCUGCUGAUUUGAUCAGGUAGCUAUUUAUAAAUUUGAGUUUGCAUUGCUAUCUAGUAAGAUUUGAAAAAUUCUAGUAGUAAUGAAUACUAAAGAAUUCCAUUAUGUCAUUCAGGUUAAGAUGUUGCGCCGCACAAUCAGUUGUCCAAUAGCCUAUUCCCAGAGGUAUAUUACUGCUCUCAAAACUUGAUGCUUAGUGAAAUAAUUAGAAGUAGAGUUGUAACAACAAAGGAGCUUUAGUGUUUCCAUAGACUUAAUUCCUUGGAUAAUUAUAGUUAUCAAAAUUAUAUAUUUAAUAAAGUUACUUUGGUGAUAGUAAUUCAGGUUCACAUCGGCACCCAUUGAUUUUUCAGAUGCAGCUUGGGUUUUAAGGAUUCGAAGUCGAGUCCUCACUUGCUAAUCUCAGGCUCCUGAAAGUUUUGGGCUCAUCUUGGACUUAAGUAUUAAAAGACUUGCAAAAUCGAAACUAUGUACUUUGUAUCAUUUAGGUUUGUUUUGCUCGAUUGGCUCGGCUCUCUCGUUUGUUUGGGUUGUUGAGGAAGUAAUGUCUCUUUAGGUAAUUGUUUGUUUAAUAAGACGCCCAUGGGUAGCUUAUUUAGUUCAAACAUUUAGCAUAGAAGGUAUUUUGAAUGCCUUUAGGUUUCUCCUAAAUUAACUAGAUUUUUAAAAUGAGUUGAGGUGUGCCAUAUUAGCCAAAUGUAUAAUAUAUGGGCCUUAUGAGCUAAUUUAGAAACCUUGUUUGUUAGAAAAAAUCAAGGCGCGCCAUGCCAAGUAAAAACUUCAAAAUGCACGGCCCUCAUUUAAUUGAUCUUGAACCUUUAGAAAUCGAGGUGUGCCAUUAGCUUAAUUUUCAUGGCCCUCGCAACCAAGCAGGGGAUAAUAUCAUUCAAGCAUAGCUUCAGGCAAGGGAAUGGAGUGGCACACAUUUUGGCAAAUGCAGCACUAAGAAAUAACUCUUUUGAUAAGCUAUACAGUUUUGGUACACCUCCUGAUUUUGUUAGGGC